rnacentral:rRNA from 1 species
AUUGAACGCUGGCGGCAUGCCUUACACAUGCAAGUCGAACGGCAGCACGGGAGCAAUCCUGGUGGCGAGUGGCGAACGGGUGAGUAAUAUAUCGGAACGUGCCCAGUCGUGGGGAUAACGUAGCGAAAGCUACGCUAAUACCGCAUACGAUCUAUGGAUGAAAGCGGGGGAUCGCAAGACCUCGCGCGAUUGGAGCGGCCGAUAUCAGAUUAGGUAGUUGGUGAGGUAAAGGCUCACCAAGCCGACGAUCUGUAUCUGGUCUGAGAGGACGACCAGCCACACUGGGACUGAGACACGGCCCAGACUCCUACGGGAGGCAGCAGUGGGGAAUUUUGGACAAUGGGCGCAAGCCUGAUCCAGCAAUGCCGCGUGCAGGAUGAAGGCCUCGGUUGUAACUGCUUUGUACGGUAACGAAACC